rnacentral:antisense_RNA from 1 species
AGACAUCAGAGAUUCGUUUUGAGAACCUUGACCAACCGCUAAGUAAGCGUUCAUUCCCAGCUCUUUCAUUUGCUCUUCACCAAUGACACGGGUGGUGAGUCGGCUAUCUGGGAAAUCGGCUAAUUGGCGAGCUUGGGACGCUAAAUAGCCUGCAUUACAGAUAUUAGGUGGCAUAUUACCCAAAUCUUUAGC